rnacentral:rRNA from 1 species
GAACGGGUGAGUACACGUGGGUGAUCUGCCCUGCACUUUGGGAUAAGCCUGGGAAACUGGGUCUAAUACCGAAUAGGACCACGCGCUUCAUGGUGUGUGGUGGAAAGCUUUUGCGGUGUGGGAUGGNCNNNCGGCCUAUCAGCUUGUUGGUGGGGUAAUGGCCUACCAAGGCGACGACGGGUAGCCGGCCUGAGAGGGUGACCGGCCACACUGGGACUGAGAUACGGCCCAGACUCCUACGGGAGGCAGCAGUGGGGAAUAUUGCACAAUGGGCGCAAGCCUGAUGCAGCGACGCCGCGUGAGGGAUGACGGCCUUCGGGUUGUAAACCUCUUUCAAUAGGGACGAAGCGCAAGUGACGGUACCUAUAGAAGAAGCACCGGCCAACUACGUGCCAGCAGCCGCGGUAAUACGUAGGGUGCGAGCGUUGUCCGGAAUUACUGGGCGUAAAGAGCUCGUAGGUGGUUUGUCGCGUUGUUCGUGAAAACUCACAGCUUAACUGUGGGCGUGCGGGCGAUACGGGCAGACUAGAGUACUGCAGGGGAGACUGGAAUUCCUGGUGUAGCGGUGGAAUGCGCAGAUAUCAGGAGGAACACCGGUGGCGAAGGCGGGUCUCUGGGCAGUAACUGACGCUGAGGAGCGAAAGCGUGGGGAGCGAACAGGAUUAGAUACCCUGGUAGUCCACGCCGUANACGGUGGGUACUAGGUGUGGGUUCCUUCCUUGGGAUCCGUGCCGUAGCUAACGCAUUAAGUACCCCGCCUGGGGAGUACGGCCGCAAGGCUAAAACUCAAAGGAAUUGACGGGGGNNNGCACAA